UACCAGCUGGCUGCAACUGUUUAUUAAAAACACAGCACUGUGCAAACACGAAAGUGGACGUAUACGGUGUGACGCCUGCCCGGUGCCGGAAGGUUAAUUGAUGGGGUCAGCGCAAGCGAAGCUCCUGAUCGAAGCCCCGGUAAACGGCGGCCGUAACUAUAACGGUCCUAAGGUAGCGAAAUUCCUUGUCGGGUAAGUUCCGACCUGCACGAAUGGCGUAAUGAUGGCCAGGCUGUCUCCACCCGAGACUCAGUGAAAUUGAACUCGCUGUGAAGAUGCAGUGUACCCGCGGCAAGACGGAAAGACCCCGUGAACCUUUACUAUAGCUUGACACUGAACAUUGAGCCUUGAUGUGUAGGAUAGGUGGGAGGCUUUGAAGUGUGGACGCCAGUCUGCAUGGAGCCGACCUUGAAAUACCACCCUUUAAUGUUUGAUGUUCUAACGUGGACCCGUAAUCCGGGUUGCGGACAGUGUCUGGUGGGUAGUUUGACUGGGGCGGUCUCCUCCUAAAGAGUAACGGAGGAGCACGAAGGUUGGCUAAUCCUGGUCGGACAUCAGGAGGUUAGUGCAAUGGCAUAAGCCAGCUUGACUGCGAGCGUGACGGCGCGAGCAGGUGCGAAAGCAGGUCAUAGUGAUCCGGUGGUUCUGAAUGGAAGGGCCAUCGCUCAACGGAUAAAAGGUACUCCGGGGAUAACAGGCUGAUACCGCCCAAGAGUUCAUAUCGACGGCGGUGUUUGGCACCUCGAUGUCGGCUCAUCACAUCCUGGGGCUGAAGUAGGUCCCAAGGGUAUGGCUGUUCGCCAUUUAAAGUGGUACGCGAGCUGGGUUUAGAACGUCGUGAGACAGUUCGGUCCCUAUCUGCCGUGGGCGCUGGAGAACUGAGGGGGGCUGCUCCUAGUACGAGAGGACCGGAGUGGACGCAUCACUGGUGUUCGGGUUGUCAUGCCAAUGGCACUGCCCGGUAGCUAAAUGCGGAAGAGAUAAGUGCUGAAAGCAUCUAAGCACGAAACUUGCCCCGAGAUGAGUUCUCCCUGAGACUUUAGGUCUCCUGAAGGAACGUUGAAGACGACGACGUUGAUAGGCCGGGUGUGUAAGCGCAGCGAUGCGUUGAGCUAACCGGUACUAAUGAACCGUGAGGCUUAACCUUACAACGCCGAA
rnacentral:rRNA from 1 species